rnacentral:rRNA from 1 species
AUUGGGUGUAAAGCGCGCGUAGGUGGCUUUGUAAGUUGGAGGUGAAAUCCCCGGGCUCAACCUGGGAACUGCCUCCAAAACUGCAUGACUAGAGUACGGUAGAGGGUAGUGGAAUUUCCUGUGUAGCGGUGAAAUGCGUAGAUAUAGGAAGGAACACCAGUGGCGAAGGCGACUACCUGGACUGAUACUGACACUGAGGUGCGAAAGCGUGGGGAGCAAACAGGAUUAGAUACCCCAGUA